CGGGGGUAGAGCACUGUUUCGGCUAGGGGGCCAUCCCGGCUUACCAACCCGAUGCAAACUGCGAAUACCGGAGAAUGUUAUCACGGGAGACACACGGCGGGUGCUAACGUCCGUCGUGAAGAGGGAAACAACCCAGACCGCCAGCUAAGGUCCCAAAGUCAUGGUUAAGUGGGAACGAUGUGGGAAGGCCCAGACAGCCAGGAUGUUGGCUUAGAAGCAGCCAUCAU
rnacentral:rRNA from 1 species